rnacentral:lncRNA from 1 species
GGGGGCCGGGGGUAAGCACGCCCCCCCUCCCUUCCCUGCACACCCCAUCCCAGCUCACGGUCCCCAUCCCUGGUCACCGCAGGGCCUGGGGGCUCAGGGCUGGGUGCUUUGGGCCCCCCUGUGACCCCCUCUCCUCUCCUCUCCUCCCCACCAGGGUCCCGGGGACACCAGUGGCGGGUGCCGCUGCAACGUCAACGGGCAGAGGUGCCACCCCCGCUGCCAAAACUGCCACUGAGCCCCCGCCUGGCCCAGCCCCUGGGGGUCGGGGGGGCUCCGAGCAGCCGGGCAGGAUCCAAGCUCCUCGCCCCAGGGACGGCCCGAGGGGCACCGGAGCUGGCGCACGGCCCCAGCAGGGCCCGAAGAUGCUCCUGGUCGCAGGGAUGGCCCCAGGGCCACGUCCCCACGGGGGCUGGGGGCAGCCAGGGAUGGACAGGAGGGAUGUAGGGCCGGGGGGGAGCGGGCGGGGGCCAGGCCCCACAAGGCUUCCCCACAGCCUCUGCAGGCAGCCGAGCUCCGCAGGGUGUCCUGGAGGUGCAGGGCAUCCUAAUAAAAGCUGUGUGCGGUGUGACCCUAACGGGGCUCUGUGUGACACCCCAAUAAAGCUGUGUGACAUCCUAAUGGGGCUCUGUGUGACACCCCAAUAAAGCCGUGUGCGGUGUGACACCCUAAUGGGGCUCUGUGACACCCCCAUAAAGCUGUGUGCGGUGUGACACCCUAACGGGGCUCUGUGACACCCCAAUAAAGCUGUGUGCGGUGUGACA